GAGUUUGAUCCUGGCUCAGAACGAACGCUGGCGGCAUGCCUAACACAUGCAAGUCGAACGCGUGUAGCAAUACACGAGUGGCGGACGGGUGAGUAACGCGUGGGAACCUGCCCAGUGGUAGGGAAUAACUGCGGGAAACUGCAGCUAAUACCCUAUGAGCCCUACGGGGAAAGGAUUUAUCGCCAUUGGAGGGGCCCGCGUCGGAUUAGCUAGUUGGUAGGGUAAUGGCCUACCAAGGCGACGAUCCGUAGCUGGUCUGAGAGGAUGAUCAGCCACACUGGGACUGAGAUACGGCCCAGACUCCUACGGGAGGCAGCAGU
rnacentral:rRNA from 1 species